rnacentral:rRNA from 1 species
AUACGAGAUCUAGUACGGUCUCGUGGGCUCGGAGAUGUGUAUAAGAGACAGCCCAUAAGGUGUGUGUGGUAGGGGAGCGUUCUGUAGGCCGAAGAAGGUUGAUUGAGAAGUCAGCUGGAGGUAUCAGAAGAGCGAAUGUUGACAUGAGUAGCGAUAAAACGAGUGAAAAGCUCGUUCGCCGAAAGCCCAAGGAUUCCUACGCGACGUUAAUCGGCGUAGGGUGAGUCGGCCCCUAAGGUGAGGCAGAGAUGCGUAGCUGAUGGGAAACGGGUUAAUAUUCCCGUACUUGAGUGUAAUGCGAUGUGGGGACGGAGAAGGUUAGGAUAGCAAUCGGUUGGAAGAGAUUGUUUAAGCCGGUAGGUAGGUCUUUUAGGCAAAUCCGGAAGACUAAUACUGAGAGGUGAUGACGAGGACUUACGGGUCUGAAGUAUCUGAUACCCAGCUUCCAGGAAAAGCCACUAAGCUUCAGUUACACUUAAACCGUACCGCAAACCGACACAGGUGGGCAGGAAGAGAAUUCUAAGGCGCUUGAGAGAACUCAGGAGAAGGAACUCGGCAAAUUGACACCGUAACUUCGGGAGAAGGUGUGCCUUUGGUAAGUGAGGGGAGAGACGCCCUGAGCUGAAGAAGGCCGCAGAGAAUAGGUGGCUGCGACUGUUUACUAAAAACACAGCACUCUGCUAACACGAAAGUGGACGUAUAGGGUGUGACGCCUGCCCGGUGCCGGAAGGUUAAUUGAUGGGGUUAGCGCAAGCGAAGCUCUUGAUCGAAGCCCCGGUAAACGGCGGCCGUAACUAUAACGGUCCUAAGGUAGCGAAAUUCCUUGUCGGGUAAGUUCCGACCUGCACGAAUGGCGUAACGAUGGCCACACUGUCUCCUCCUGAGACUCAGCGAAGUUGAAGUGGUUGUGAAGAUGCAAUCUACCCGCUGCUAGACGGAAAGACCCCAUGAACCUUUACUGUAGCUUUGCAUUGGACUUUGAAGUUGUAUGUGUAGGAUAGGUGGGAGGCUGUGAAUUUAUAACGCUAGUUAUAGAGGAGCCGUUGGUGAAAUACCACCCUUACACCUUUGAGGUUCUAACUUAGGUCUCUGAAUCGAGAUCGAGGACCGUGCAUGGUGGGCAGUUUGACUGGGGCGGUCUCCUCCUAAAGAGUAACGGAGGAGUUCGAAGGUUACCUAGGUCCGGUCGGAAAUCGGGCUGAUAGUAUAAUGGCAUAAGGUAGCUUAACUGCGAGACUGACAAGUCGAGCAGAUGCGAAAGCAGGACAUAGUGAUCCGGUGGUUCUGAAUGGAAGGGCCAUCGCUCAACGGAUAAAAGGUACUCCGGGGAUAACAGGCUGAUACCGCCCAAGAGUUCAUAUCGACGGCGGUGUUUGGCACCUCGAUGUCGGCUCAUCACAUCCUGGGGCUGAAGUAGGUCCCAAGGGUAUGGCUGUUCGCCAUUUAAAGUGGUACGCGAGCUGGGUUUAGAACGUCGUGAGACAGUUCGGUCCCUAUCUGCCGUGGGCGUUGGAGAAUUGAUUGGGGCUGCUCCUAGUACGAGAGGACCGGAGUGGACGCACCACUGGUGUUCCGGUUGUGUCGCCAGACGCAUUGCCGGGUAGCUAAGUGCGGAAGAGAUAAGUGCUGAAAGCAUCUAAGCACGAAACUUGCCAAGAGAUGAGUUCUCCCUGUUUUUAAGACAGUAAGGGUUGUUUAAGACUAAGACGUAGAUAGGUCUGGUGUGUAAGCGGUGCGAGCCGUUGAGCUAACAGAUACUAAUUGCCCGAGAGGCUUAACUAU